rnacentral:rRNA from 1 species
GGAUGAACGCUAGCGGGAGGCCUAACACAUGCAAGCCGGGCGGGAUCCCUUCGGGGUGAGAGCGGCGUACGGGUGAGGAGCACGUGUGCAACCUGCCCCUGUCUGGGGGAUAGCCCUCCGAAAGGAGGAUUAACACCCCAUAGGAUGUUCGCCGGCAUCGGCGGUCAUUGAAAGGUUACGGACGGGGAUGGGCACGCGCAGGAUUAGGUAGUUGGCAGGGUAACGGCCUACCAAGCCUUUGAUCCUUAGGGGGCCUGAGAGGGUGAUCCCCCACACUGGUACUGAGACACGGACCAGACUCCUACGGGAGGCAGCAGUGAGGAAUAUUGGACAAUGGGUGGAAGCCUGAUCCAGCCAUCCCGCGUGAAGGACUAAGGGCCUAUGGCCUGUAAACUUCUUUUGUACGGGGAUAAACCUAUCUACGCGUAGAUAGCUGAAGGUACCGUACGAAUAAGCACCGGCUAACUCC